rnacentral:miRNA from 5 species
CUCUAGAGGGAAGCACUUUCUG